rfam:Arabidopsis thaliana chromosome 2, complete sequence.
AGGCUGUGAUGAUUGAGAAUGUCAUGCACCACUCUGAUUUUUUGUGCUGAUAAUCAUCUCUAACCCAUAUUUUAUCUGAGCCU